GGAGAAAUCAAAAUCUUUCUCAUUUAGUGUCUGGACAAGUUUGCUUGUUGAGACACUGCAAAUGUCCAGAAUUCCGAAAUUCAAUGUCAUCCUUACUUUUUUUCUAUGGGACUUACUUGUGUGACAACUAGGUCGAAAUUAGUACAUCUUUGCAAAUUUUUCAAUGACAAUUUCUCUAGAGUUUGUUUCUAGCUCUAACCGCUAGAUAAUGGAGUUGAAAAUCAAGUAGGAUUGUUGUGUAAUUGGUCUCCGUAGGAUGUUUAUCCUUGCCCAUUUUAUCUAACUUAUGCCUCUUUACACCUGCCAAUUUCAGCAGAUAAUUAAAUUAUCAUUUUUGAAUAUUUUGUUUUAGAUUAUGAUUAAAUAUUUUGCCUCUAGUGUUCCCUUUCUUCUUCUCCUACUGUCUUGUUAUUUAUAUUUUUCGUAAGUGUGUUGUGGUGCUUUUGGUUAUGUUCUUAUGCAUAUAAUUCCAAUGAGAAGAAUAUUUUUUAGAAAAAUGGAAUCUGUGGUUAUAUUUUGGUUAAGUUGUUAAUAUUUGUUCAUUAUCUUCAUUAGAGGUAAGAAUAUGGAAACAAUGUCAUUGUCCAAUCAGAACAAACACCUUUUUGUUGGCAUAUUUUACAAUAAUGUGAAAGCAAGAAAGUUGCAAUGUUCCACGUUUACAUAAAAAAUUAUAAAGGCAAGAUCAAUCAAGAUAUGAUUGUUGCUACAAAAUCUGAUUAUGGGAUAGAGAGAUUCAAGGGUAAGUGAAACCAUUUACGUGAGGUGCAUCGCUUGUUCUCUGACCUUUUCUGGCGUACAGGUGUUACAUGGGAUCCAAAUACCAACCAAGUGAAUGCUACAAAAGAAGUUUGGCAACACUUUUUUCAUGACAUCAGGAAGGAAGGAUGUAAGCACUGUGAAUUACUUGGAGUGACUUUUAGUGGGACCACAACUACUGGAGGUCUAGGCAAUGCUUCUACUCAGCUAAUUUGAAUGUCAGAGGAAGAAAGACGGAUAGAAAAUGAGUUUUUGAGAAGUGGAGUGCAUGUACGCGUGGAAAAUGAUGAUGGUGAAGUUUCAAAUAUUCAUUAAUGUGAUGAUACUACACCCAACAAACGCCAACAUAAGGAACUCAAAAUCAAUAAAGGUGAAAAACUUGAGGAAUUUAUGGCAUAAUGGUCCUCUACUGUUAGUACGAAGAAAGAGGAAACAGAACUUAGGAUGCUAUACCUUAAAAAAAAAGCUUGCCCAAAUCCAAGAAAAAUCAUCUAAUUACAAGGGCACUAGUGAAGUUACUCGUCCAGACCCUUAUUCAAAUAUGGAGUGUUUGAACAUCUUAAACAAUAUGGAAGGUAGUGUCUAAUGAGAUUUACAUGAAAGCAAUAAAGCCUUUUAAGGAUCUAGAUUUCAGGAUGACAUUUGUGAUGAUGCCAAAAAUUAGGAGAUGACCUAUCUUGGAACUUCUUUAAUUUGCCUGAUUGGUCAGGUUGAGUAUUUUGAACUUUCAAUAUAAGAUUGUGUUUUCUUCAUAUAUUAAUUGUGAAUUUUGUAAUUCUCAAGAUUUACUAGUAGUUUUAUUUUAAUAGAUGUAUUGGAUUUUGAUAUUAAUAUA